rnacentral:rRNA from 1 species
CAUUGCCAAGAAUGUUUCAUUAAUCAAGAACGAAAGUCAGAGUUCGAAGGCGAUCAGAUACCGCCCUAGUUCUGACCAUUAACGAUGCAAACUGGCGAUCCGUCGGCGUUAAGCAACAAUGACCUGGCGGGCAGCUUCCGGGAAACCAAAGUGUUCGUGUUCCGGGGGAAGUAUGGUUGCAAAACUGGAACUUAAAGGAAUUGACGGAAGGGCACCACCAGGAGUGGAGCCUGUGGCUUAAUUUGACUCAACACGGGAAAUCUCACCAGGCCCGGACACCGGCAGGAUUGACAGAUUGAGAGCUCUUUCUUGAUUCGGUGGGUGGUGGUGCAUGGCCGUUCUUAGUUGGUGGAGUGAUUUGUCUGGUUAAUUCCGAUAACGAACGAGACCCCGUCCUACUUACUAGACUGGGGAUUCUUCUCGUCCUCACAGUCUUCUUAGAGGGACAACUGGCGUUCAUCCAGCUACAUGAAAUGGGGCAAUAACAGGUCUGUGAUGCCCUUAGAUGUUCUGGGCUGCACACGCGCUACACUGAAGGGAUCACCGUGUAUGUCCUAGCCUGAAAAGGCCGGGAAACCCGUUGAAUUCUCUUCGUGCUAGGGAUUGAGGCUUGCAAUUGUUUCUCAUGAACGAGGAAUUCCCAGUAAGUGUGAGUCAUAAGCUCGCGCUGAUUACGUCCCUGCCCUUUGUACACACCGCCCGUCGCUACUACCGAUUGGAUGAUUUAGUGAGGCCUUUGGACUGGCUACUAGUGGGGCACUUGUGUCCUGCUGGUGGUCUGGGAAGAUGGUCAAACUGUAUCAUCUAGAGGAAGUAAAAGUCGUAACAAGGUUUCCG